GGGGCUGAUUCUGGAUUCGACGGGAUUUGCGAAACCCAAGGUGCAUGCCGAGGGGCGGUUGGCCUCGUAAAAAGCCGCAAAAAAAUAGUCGCAAACGACGAAAACUACGCUUUAGCAGCUUAAUAACCUGCUUAGAGCCCUCUCUCCCUAGCCUCCGCUCUUAGGACGGGGAUCAAGAGAGGUCAAACCCAAAAGAGAUCGCGCGGAUGCCCUGCCUGGGGUUGAAGCGUUAAAACGAAUCAGGCUAGUCUGGUAGUGGCGUGUCCGUCCGCAGGUGCCAGGCGAAUGUAAAGACUGACUAAGCAUGUAGUACCGAGGAUGUAGGAAUUUCGGACGCGGGUUCAACUCCCGCCAGCUCCACUA
rnacentral:tmRNA from 1 species